UACGGGGGGAGCAAGCGUUGUUCGGAUUUACUGGGCGUAAAGGGCGCGUAGGCGGUCAGCACAAGUCAGUUGUGAAAUCUCCGGGCUUAACUCGGAAAGGUCAACUGAUACUGUGCGACUAGAGUGCGGAAGGGGCAACUGGAAUUCUCGGUGUAGCGGUGAAAUGCGUAGAUACCGAGAGGAACACCUGCGGCGAAGGCGGGUUGCUGGGCCGACACUGACGCUGAUGCGCGAAAGCUAGGGGAGCGAACAGG
rnacentral:rRNA from 1 species